UGACUGGGGUGAUCUGGAACCCCUGCUGUGCCCAGUGUGUUCUAAAGACCCAAGAGCGGACUUCAAGUAAAAAUGUUUACUGACAAAAAUAUGGCUGAAGGGUAGGAAGAGCGUUAUUGGUGAUAGCAGGCAGAAGGGUGGUGAGAAUGGCUGGAGAAGGGCGGACAGAUGUGUGAGCAGAGAUGGUCCGGGUAGAAGCGAUCUACAAACACCUGGACUUCAUCCCUGCCUGCCAACCAUGCCAGCCAAAACUCUCAGCCACACCGGAUCAGUUACUGGACCCAGCUCACUCACUCUGCCGGCCACGCCGUCCACUUCUGCCCCGCCAAAACACUCUGAAGAGUACCCCCUCAGUCCAUUACUUUUGAACUGUAAAUAAAGUGUUGAACUUG